rnacentral:rRNA from 1 species
ACAGACUCCUACGGGAGGCAGCAGUGGGGACUCUUGCACAAUGGUUUCCCCCCUGAUGCCGCACCGCCGCGUGCGUGCAGAAGUAUUUCGCUCUGUAAAGCUCUAUCAGCAGGGAAGCAGAUGACGGUCCCUGAGUAAGAAGCCCCGGCUAACUACGUGCCAGCAGCCGCGGUAAUACGUAGGGGGCAAGCGUUAUCCGGAUUUACUGGGGGUAAAGGGAGCGUAGACGGCAUAGCAAGUCUGAAGUGAAAGCCCAGGGCUCAACCAUGGGACUGCUUUGGAAACUGUUAAGCUAGAGUGCGGGAGAGGUAAGCGGAAUUCCUAGUGGAGCGGUGAAAUGCGGAGAGAUUAGGAAGAACACCAGUGGCGAAGGCGGCUUACUGGACAGGAACUGACGGGGAGGCUCGAAAGCGGGGGGAGCAAACAGGAGGAGAUACCCCUGUAGU